rnacentral:rRNA from 1 species
UAAGCGAGCGCAGGCGGUUUUUUAGGUCUGAUGUGAAAGCCUUCGGCUUAACCGGAGAAGUGCAUCGGAAACCGGGAGACUUGAGUGCAGAAGAGGACAGUGGAACUCCAUGUGUAGCGGUGAAAUGCGUAGAUAUAUGGAAGAACACCAGUGGCGAAGGCGGCUGUCUGGUCUGUAACUGACGCUGAGGCUCGAAAGCAUGGGUAGCGAACAGGAUUAGAUACCCUGGUAGUCCAUGCCGUAAACGAUGAGUGCUAAGUGUUGGAGGGUUUCCGCCCUUCAGUGCUGCAGCUAACGCAUUAAGCACUCCGCCUGGGGAGUACGACCGCAAGGUUGAAACUCAAAGGAAUUGACGGGGGCCCGCACAAGCGGUGGAGCAUGUGGUUUAAUUCGAUGCUACGCGAAGAACCUUACCAGGUCUUGACAUCUUCUGCCAACCUAAGAGAUUAGGCGUUCCCUUCGGGGACAGAAUGACAGGUGGUGCAUGGUUGUCGUCAGCUCGUGUCGUGAGAUGUUGGGUUAAGUCCCGCAACGAGCGCAACCCUUAUUGUUAGUUGCCAGCAUUCAGUUGGGCACUCUAGCAAGACUGCCGGUGACAAACCGGAGGAAGGUGGGGAUGACGUCAAAUCAUCAUGCCCCUUAUGACCUGGGCUACACACGUGCUACAAUGGACGGUACAACGAGUCGCGAAACCGCGAGGUCAAGCUAAUCUCUUAAAGCCGUUCUCAGUUCGGAUUGUAGGCUGCAACUCGCCUACAUGAAGUUGGAAUCGCUAGUAAUCGUGGAUCAGCAUGCCACGGUGAAUACGUUCCCGGGCCUUGUACACACCGCCCGUCACACCAUGAGAGUUUGUAACACCCAAAGCCGGUGAGGUAACCUUCGGGGAC